GACGAACGCUGGCGGCGUGCCUAACACAUGCAAGUCGAACGCGAAAGGGGGCUUGCCCCCAAGUAAAGUGGCGCACGGGUGAGUAACGCGUGGGUAACCAACCCCUAGGUGGGGGAUAACGGCCCGAAAGGGACGCUAAUCCCGCAUAAGACCACGAUAGCGCAGGCUAUUGGGGCCAAAGGAGUGAUUCGCCUAGGGACGGGCCCGCGUCCCAUCAGCUAGUUGGUAGGGUAACGGCCUACCAAGGCAGUGACGGGUAGCUGGUCUGAGAGGAUGAUCAGCCACACUGGGACUGGAACACGGCCCAGACUCCUACGGGAGGCAGCAGUGAGGAAUUUUGGACAAUGGGCGAAAGCCUGAUCCAGCAACGCCGCGUGAGUGAUGAAGGCCCUCGGGUUGUAAAGCUCUUUCAGGGGGGAUGAGAAAGGACGGUACCCCCGACAAGAAGCACCGGCUAACUCCGUG
rnacentral:rRNA from 1 species